CGCGUAGGCGGCCUGCUAAAUCUGGAGUGAAAGUCCUGCUUUCAAGGUGGGAAUUGCUUUGGAUACUGGUGGGCUGGAGUGCAGGAGAGGAAAGCGGAAUUACCGGUGUAGCGGUGAAAUGCGUAGAGAUCGGUAGGAACACCAGUGGCGAAGGCGGCUUUCUGGACUGAAACUGACGCUGAGGCGCGAAAGCGUGGGAGCAAACA
rnacentral:rRNA from 1 species